GAACACAAGGUUGAGGGAACAACAUAAUUACCCUUCAUUUGUUGAUGCAAGGAGGCAGAGUGGUUUCAAUUAGUGCCUUAAAUUGGGAAAGAGCUGGGAAGAAAUCGGGAGCUUUGCUUGGAGCUGGAAUUUGUUCUGUGUGAUCCUUUUGUGGGACUCUUUUCCUCCUUUAAUGGUUCUUUUGUGGGAUUCUUUUCCCCCAUUAAUGAGUAACGAUGAUGUGUCAGUGUUGAGUUUAACCAGGAAAAUCAAGGAACCAGGAAAUUCCAGGUGAAAAAGCAACUGAAGUGGAAGAGAAGCUCUGACUCAUUUGAACUGAUCAGGACAGGGCAGGAGACAACAUCUCCCACAUUGUGGUUAUUUACCAGCUCUCACUCCAGGAUUUCUUAAGAAUUACAA
rnacentral:lncRNA from 1 species